GCCGCGUGAGCGAAGAAGGUUUUCGGAUCGUAAAGCUCUGUUGCGAGGGAAGAACACGUACGGGAGUCACUGCCCGUACCUUGACGGUACCUCGUUAGAAAGCCACGGCUAACUACGUGCCAGCAGCCGCGGUAAUACGUAGGUGGCAAGCGUUGUCCGGAAUUAUUGGGCGUAAAGCGCGCGCAGGCGGUCCUUUAAGUCUGAUGUGAAAGCCCACGGCUCAACCGUGGAGGGUCAUUGGAAACUGGAGGACUUGAGUGCAGAAGAGGAAAGCGGAAUUCCACGUGUAGCGGUGAAAUGCGUAGAGAUGUGGAGGAACACCAGUGGCGAAGGCGGCUUUCUGGUCUGUAACUGACGCUGAGGCGCGAAAGCGUGGGGAGCAAACAGGAUUAGAUACCCUGGUAGUCCACGCCGUAAACGAUGAGUGCUAAGUGUUAGGGGGUUUCCGCCCCUUAGUGCUGCAGCUAACGCAUUAAGCACUCCGCCUGGGGAGUACGGCCGCAAGGCUGAAACUCAAAGGAAAUUGACGGA
rnacentral:rRNA from 1 species